rnacentral:lncRNA from 1 species
AUUUCAAAUANAUAAAUAUCUAAUUGAAACUCCUGGGCCAGCUACUUUUCUUGGCUCCCAUGUACACAUAACUAAACUUUUUUUCUUGUGUUAAUCUGUUGCUUGUCAGUUUAGUUGACAGGCCCCAGUCAUGGAACAUAAGAGGCACUCCUGCAGCCUUCUUCACAGAGGCUCCCUAACUUUGCCAGACAUGCAGAACUCAGCAGAACGAGUGGAAAGAUCAGGAUUGCUCAUCAUCUCCUUGGCAGACAUCAUCAUGUUGUGAAGCGAAAAUUGGGAGUCCCUCAUUGCCUGGAACAGCAGAGACACCAGGGGCUCAGGCAGCUGCACGAGCUUCCGGCCUCAGGAGAACGCUGUGCAGAAGCAGCCAUCUGAACCUCCGCCUGAAGGCCACACCCCAGCCCUCUUCUCUGGCCGGACAGAGGUGAGCUCCCACGGCUGGGCGUGUUUAUCCUGAGGGGCUGGCCGGUGUGAGCGGUCGUACCCACAUUUGCACGUAGGGACAGAAGAACGUGGUUUCUCCAUCUUGGGUAGCUCCAUGUAAAUCACGCCGGUGUCUCAGGGACAGACACUU